AAAUUAGCGGAUGACUUGUGGCUGGGGGUGAAAGGCCAAUCAAACCGGGAGAUAGCUGGUUCUCCCCGAAAGCUAUUUAGGUAGCGCCUCGUGAACUCAUCUUCGGGGGUAGAGCACUGUUUCGGCUAGGGGGUCAUCCCGACUUACCAACCCGAUGCAAACUACGAAUACCGAAGAAUGUUAUCACGGGAGACACACGGCGGGUGCUAACGUCCGUCGUGAAGAGGGAAACAACCCAGACCGCCAGCUAAGGUCCCAAAGUCAUGGUUAAGUGGGAAACGAUGUGGGAAGGCACAGACAGCCAGGAUGUUGGCUUAGAAGCAGCCAUCAUUUAAAGAAAGCGUAAUAGCUCACUGGUCGAGUCGGCCUGCGCGGAAGAUGUAACGGGGCUAAACCAUGCACCGAAGCUGCGGCAGCGACACUAUGUGUUGUUGGGUAGGGGAGCGUUCUGUAAGCCGUUGAAGGUGGCCUGUGAGGGUUGCUGGAGGUAUCAGAAGUGCGAAUGCUGACAUAAGUAACGAUAAAGCGGGUGAAAAGCCCGCUCGCCGGAAGACCAAGGGUUCCUGUCCAACGUUAAUCGGGGCAGGGUGAGUCGACCCCUAAGGCGAGGCCGAAAGGCGUAGUCGAUGGGAAACAGGUUAAUAUUCCUGUACUCGGUGUUACUGCGAAGGGGGGACGGAGAAGGCUAUGUUAGCCGGGCGACGGUUGUCCCGGUUUAAGCAUGUAGGCGGAGAGUUUAGGUAAAUCCGGACUCUUGUUAACGCUGAGGUGUGACGACGAGGCACUACGGUGCUGAAGUAACAAAUGCCCUGCUUCCAGGAAAAGCCUCUAAGCAUCAGGUAACAUCAAAUCGUACCCCAAACCGACACAGGUGGUCAGGUAGAGAAUACCAAGGCGCUUGAGAGAACUCGGGUGAAGGAACUAGGCAAAAUGGUGCCGUAACUUCGGGAGAAGGCACGCUGAUGGUAAGUAAAGCGACUUGCUCGUGGAGCUGAAAUCAGUCGAAGAUACCAGCUGGCUGCAACUGUUUAUUAAAAACACAGCACUGUGCAAACACGAAAGUGGACGUAUACGGUGUGACGCCUGCCCGGUGCCGGAAGGUUAAUUGAUGGGGUUAUCCGCAAGGAGAAGCUCUUGAUCGAAGCCCCGGUAAACGGCGGCCGUAACUAUAACGGUCCUAAGGUAGCGAAAUUCCUUGUCGGGUAAGUUCCGACCUGCACGAAUGGCGUAAUGAUGGCCAGGCUGUCUCCACCCGAGACUCAGUGAAAUUGAACUCGCUGUGAAGAUGCAGUGUACCCGCGGCAAGACGGAAAGACCCCGUGAACCUUUACUAUAGCUUGACACUGAACAUUGAGCCUUGAUGUGUAGGAUAGGUGGGAGGCUUUGAAGCGUGGACGCCAGUCUGCGUGGAGCCAACCUUGAAAUACCACCCUUUAAUGUUUGAUGUUCUAACGUAGACCC
rnacentral:rRNA from 1 species